GGAAUAUUGCGCAAUGGAGGAAACUCUGACGCAGUGACGCCGCGUAUAGGAAGAAGGUUUUAGGAUUGUAAACUAUUUUAGACAGGGAAGAUAAAUGACAGUACCUGUAGAAUAAGCUCCGGCUAACUACGUGCCAGCAGCCGCGGUAAUACGUAGGGAGCAAGCGUUAUCCGGAAUUAUUGGGUGUAAAGGGUGCGUAGACGGGAAUUUAAGUUGGUUGUGAAAUCCCUCGGCUCAACUGAGGAACUGCAACCAAAACUGGAUUUCUUGAGUGCAGGAGAGGAAAGCGGAAUUCCUAGUGUAGCGGUGAAAUGCGUAGAUAUUAGGAGGAACACCAGUGGCGAAGGCGGCUUUCUGGACUGUAACUGACGUUGAGGCACGAAAGUGUGGGGAGCAAACA
rnacentral:rRNA from 1 species